AUUGAACGCUGGCGGCGUGCUUAACACAUGCAAGUCGAACGAAGUGGCGAACGGGUGAGUAACGCGUAAUCAACCUGCCCUUCAGAGGGGGACAACAGUUGGAAACGACUGCUAAUACCGCAUACUGAAGGAGGGGAUUGCGUCUGAUUAGCUAGUUGGAGGGGUAAAGGCCCAACAAGGCGAUGGUCAGUAGCCGGUCUGGAAGGAUGAACGGCCACAUUGGGACUGAGACACGGCCCAGACUCCUACGGGAGGCAGCAGUGGGGAAGCUUCCGCAAUGGGCGAAAGGCUGACGGAGCAAAGCCGCGUGAGUGAUGACGGCCUUCAGGUUGUAAAGCUCUGUUAAUCGGGGCGCGGUACCGGAAUAGAAAGCCACGGCUAACUACGUGCCAGCCGCCGCGGUAAUAC
rnacentral:rRNA from 1 species